rnacentral:tRNA from 1 species
GGCUCGAUAGCUUAGUUGGAUAAAGCACUUGUCUAGCAAAUAAGGGUCGAGAGUUCAAAUCUCACCUGAGCUG